rnacentral:tRNA from 1 species
GCUGCUAUGGCUCAGUCGGUAGAGCGCGUCCUUGGUAAGGACGAGGUCCCCGGUUCAAAUCCGGGUAGCAGCUCCA